GGAAGAGUGUCCGAGUGGUUUAAGGAGUCAGUCUUGAAAACUGAUGAUGUCGCAAGGCACCGUGGGUUCGAAUCCUACCUCUUCCG
rnacentral:tRNA from 1 species